AUAGGGAUGAAACUUUUAAGACUGAAAAGUGUAUGUGUUGAAAUUCUUCAGUCCUCUAAGAAGUUCUGAAUAG